rnacentral:rRNA from 1 species
GACGAACGCUGGCGGCGUGCCUAAUACAUGCAAGUUGAGCGCUGAAGGUUGGUACUUGUACCCACUGGAUGAGCAGCGAACGGGUGAGUAACGCGUGGGGAAUCUGCCUUUGAGCGGGGGACAACAUUUGGAAACGAAUGCUAAUACCGCAUAAAAACUUUAAACACAAGUUUUAAGUUUGAAAGAUGCAAUUGCAUCACUCAAAGAUGAUCCCGCGUUGUAUUAGCUAGUUGGUGAGGUAAAGGCUCACCAAGGCGAUGAUACAUAGCCGACCUGAGAGGGUGAUCGGCCACAUUGGGACUGAGACACGGCCCAAACUCCUACGGGAGGCAGCAGUAGGGAAUCUUCGGCAAUGGACGAAAGUCUGACCGAGCAACGCCGCGUGAGUGAAGAAGGUCUUCGGAUCGUAAAACUCUGUUGGUAGAGAAGAACGUUGGUGAGAGUGGAAAGCUCAUCAAGUGACGGUAACUACCCAGAAAGGGACGGCUAACUACGUG